rnacentral:rRNA from 1 species
CAAAAACAUAGCCGCGCGCAAUUACCCGCGGUACUUUCUGCUCAGUGAGACUUAAACAGCCGCAGUACCUUGACUGUGCAAAGGUAGCGUAAUCAGUUGUCUUCUAAUUAAAGUCUUGUAUCAACGAACAUAUGGGGGCCCACUAUACCAGUAAUAUUAAAUGAAUUUACUAAAGGGGUGAAAAUACCCUUGUAACUUAAUAGACGAGAAGACCCUAGAAAUUUUCACAGACGUUUUUGUUGGGGCAACAUGGUAACAUACAACUUACCUUAUAGACACGAAAUGGUUUGGAUAGUAUAAAUUACUCUAGGGAUAACAGCAUAAUGAUAAAUCGUUUGUGACCUCGAUGUUGGAUUAGGAAGUUACAACUUAAAAGGUGACUAACUCUGCUCUGUUCGAGCA